UACGUAGGGGGCAAGCGUUGUCCGGAAUCAUUGGGCGUAAAGAGCGUGUAGGCGGCCCGGUAAGUCCGCUGUGAAAGUCCAGGGCUCAACCCUGGGAUGCCGGUGGAUACUGUCGGGCUCGAGUCCGGAAGAGGCGAGUGGAAUUCCUGGUGUAGCGGUGAAAUGCGCAGAUAUCAGAAGGAACACCAAUGGCGAAGGCAGCUCGCUGGGACGGUACUGACGCUGAGACGCGAAAGCGUGGGGAGCAAACAGG
rnacentral:rRNA from 1 species